rnacentral:lncRNA from 1 species
GUGGUUUUCCAAAAUUAAUUGUGCAAUAGAUAAUACUAAAUGACGUGGUUUUCAAAAAUUAAUUGUGCAACAGAUAAUACUAAAUGACGUGGUUUUCCAAAAUUUCUCGAGCUAUAUAGACAAUGCAAAAGUGCAGAUGGAGUAUGUUCAACUAUAGUAAAAGCCACACAUUUACAAAGAAAAAUAAUGUAAAUGACAUGGUUUUCCAAAAUUAAUUGUGCAACAGAUAAUACUAAUGACAUGGUUUUCCAAAAUUACUUGUGCAGCAGAUAAUGCUAAUGGCGUGGUUUUCCAGAAUUUAUCGUGCUAUAUAGACAAUGCAAAAGUGCAGCCGGAGUACGUUCAACUAUAGUAAAAGCCACACAUUGACAGAGAAUAAUAAUGUUUCCAAAUAUUAGAAUUAAAAUAUCGAAAAUCGCAAAAAUAAUUUUACAGACCUGUGUACAACUGUAAAAUGUCAACUUUUGAACCCCAUUAUAAGAUAUAGUGGGAAGGGUAUAUGAAAUUUUGAACCAAGAUACUUUCUUAUAUUGUUUUCUACAUUCGGAAAACUUAACGAUAAUCGGCUCAUUUUAUAUGAAUUUCCUGAAGGUUUUCACCACUAAUUAGGUAAUGGAGCCUAGAAAACUAAGAAAGCAUAAACCUAAUACUUUUGCAACAAGGUGGUAUUUCGUUACAUGAAUAACAAAACAAAAAAUCCAUCAAUGUAUAAGCGAUAUAAUUUUACAAUCGGAAACAGGUGUGGAGUAAAGGUGUAAAAUUAAUGAUUACUUUUGAACCUGCAGCAUCAGCGAGUCCCUGUUUGCUUUAUAGAGCUGUAACUCACAAUAGGAUAAUUUGAUCUAUAUGAUAAUCACUAAUGUUAUGUAACUAACAAACAAAUUGACGAUAAUCGGCUCAAUUUAUAUGAAUUUCCUGAAGGUUUUCACCACUAAUUAGGUAACGGAGCCAACUGCAGGACAGAAAACUAAGAAAGCAUAAACCUAAACACAGGGUUUAUAAAACAUUUCAAGCAUCAUAAAACCAAUAACUGCAUAAAAUUCUUUAUUAAAAUAUGAAUUAUAAAGCUAAGGCAAAUUCCUAUAUACUGCUUCCACAUGUAAAAGGUAGACACACCUUUGGAAAUAUGCACAUGCCACAUUUGUCAGAUUUGAAAAUAGGAAUUAAAAUUCUUAGAACUUCGCUUAAAAUACUAAAAACAUAUAGCAUCAUCUCAGUUACUUUUUCACGUGUCUAACUAUCUUUUAAAUCACCAAGGAGCUGGUUGUAUUACUCUUUUGACAAUGCUUCACCAAGAUCAUCAUCACACUUCUCUUUACUUCUUAGUCCAGUAAUCGAACCAUCAUAGUAGUCGAUUUCAAAAGACUAACUAGCAGACUUCUAUUUCGAGUUUCCACGCAAUCCACGAUCAUAUUUAGUUGCAAAGAUCUUAGCCAGCUUCUGAGUUAACUCUCCAAUCACUAAAUGAGCAUACUUUCCACACAACUCUCUCCUGUACCACAUCAUGAACUGUUUUUCGAACGAACCUGAUUCAGUUUUCAAAGUAUGAUUCUCAAGUUUCACAAGAAAUUCCUCUAAGAGCACAACUGCCUCUCUGUGCCUAUCUAGGCGAAAUAGAGCCUUUAUUAACAGAUAAUAUGUAGCCGAGUUAGGUGCUGGCCAGUUGUGCCAACCACUUCUGUUGUUCAUCAAUUUAAGAACGCAACUGGCUUCAUCCGAAAAUCCAUUGCUACAUAAACUGGC